rnacentral:sRNA from 1 species
CACAAUUUUAUUUUAACACACACACAUAUCGACACAUACACUUGGGUGCAUGUCUUAGUAAAAUACUGAACAUGUUGGUGCUAUGGGAUAUGUGGAGGCUUAAC